GACGCUGGCGGUAGGCUUAACACAUGCAAGUCGAGCGAGAAAGUAUCUUCGGAUAUGAGUAGAGCGGCGGACGGGUGAGUAACGCGUAGGAAUCUACCUAGUAGAAGGGGAUAGCCCGGGGAAACUCGGAUUAAUACCGUAUACCUCCUAAGGGAGAAAGAGGGCCUCUCUUGAUGCUCUUGCUAUUAGAUGAGCCUGCGUAAGAUUAGCUUGUUGGUAAGGUAAUGGCUUACCAAGGCUACGAUCUUUAGCUGGUCUGAGAGGACGAUCAGCCACAUUGGGACUGAGACACGGCCCAGACUCCUACGGGAGGCAGCAGUGGGGAAUAUUGGACAAUGGGCGCAAGCCUGAUCCAGCCAUACCGCGUGUGUGAAGAAGGCCUUCGGGUUGUAAAGCACUUUAAGCAGGGAGAAAAAGUUAUAAGUUAAUACCUUAUAUCCGUGAUGUUACCUGCAGAAUAAGCACCGGCUAAUUCCGUGCCAGCAGCCGCGGUAAUACGGAAGGUGCAAGCGUUAAUCGGAAUUACUGGGCGUAAAGCGCGCGUAGGUGGUUUGUUAAGUUGGAUGUGAAAGCCCUGGGCUCAACCUAGGAACUGCAUCCAAAACUAACUCACUAGAGUACGAUAGAGGGAGGUAGAAUUCAUAGUGUAGCGGUGGAAUGCGUAGAUAUUAUGAAGAAUACCAGUGGCGAAGGCGGCCUCCUGGAUCUGUACUGACACUGAGGUGCGAAAGCGUGGGUAGCGAACAGGAUUAGAUACCCUGGUAGUCCACGCCGUAAACGAUGACAACUAGCUGUUGGGAGACAAUGUCUUUCAGUGGCGCAGCUAACGUUUUAAGUUGUCCGCCU
rnacentral:rRNA from 1 species